GCAGAACCUCAACCUCUCUUACAACGCCGUAGAAAAUUUCCCUCACAACGUAACCGAUCUGUCGCCGGGACUCAAGAUUCUGAACGUCAGUUCCACUUGCAUAAGGACUUUGAGUGGGACCUCGAGACUGAGUAUUAUUCAAGAAGACUUCCCUUGGGUGAACUGCAGUUUCCCUGAUCGAGAUAAGGU